AACGACGCUGGCGGCGUGCUUAACACAUGCAAGUCGAGCGAGAAAGGGGGGGCAACUCCCCUGAGUAAAGCGGCGCACGGGUGAGUAACGCGUGGGUAACCUACCCCUCGGCGGGGGAUAACGACUCGAAAGGGUCGCUAAUACCGCAUGAGACCACGGGGUCCUCGGACCCUGAGGCCAAAGGCUGCAUCGGCUUGCCGGUGUAGUCACCGGGGGAUGGGCCCGCGUCCGAUUAGCUAGUUGGUGAGGUAACGGCCCACCAAGGCUACGAUCGGUAGCUGGUCUGAGAGGAUGAUCAGCCACACUGGAACUGGAACACGGUCCAGACUCCUACGGGAGGCAGCAGUGAGGAAUAUUGCGCAAUGGGGGAAACCCUGACGCAGCAACGCCGCGUGGGUGAUGAAGUUCUUCGGAACGUAAAGCCCUGUCAGGAGGGACGAAGCUCUGACGGUACCUCCAAAGGAAGCCCCGGCUAACUCCGUG
rnacentral:rRNA from 1 species